GUAUCUUCCUGCCCAGUGAUAUUUAAACGGCCGCGGUAUCCUAACCGUGCAAAGGUAGCAUAAUAAUUUGUCUAUUAAUUGUAGACUAGAAUGAACGGAAUAACAAAAUAAGUGCUGUAUCAACUUGACUUAUAUAAACUAUUAUUAAAGUGAAGAAACUUUAAUUAAAUAAAAGGACAAGAAGACCCUAUAGAGCUUUAUUAUAAAUCAAUUAUCAAUUGAUACUAAUUCGGUUGGGGCGACCUAGGAAAAAUCAUCCUUUAUAUAAAAGAUCUACCAAUCAUUCUUCAGACCCUUUAUCAAGAUCACAGAAUUAAGCUACCUUAGGGAUAACAGGCUAAUCCUAUUAUAGAGCUCUUAUCGACAAUAGGGAUUGGCACCUCGAUGUUGGCUUAGAAAAUCUGUGCGGCGCAGAAGUCGCAACAAGAUGGUUUGUUCAACCAAUAAUUUUCU
rnacentral:rRNA from 1 species